CCGGCCUGGGACAAGCAGCAGGAUUUAUUUGGUAUGAAGUGGUUACCAUAGAAGAGAGAUUUGCAAGUUGUUGAAGACUAGAUUUUUACAACAGCGGAAUUUUGGAUGUUGGGCAUUAUUGUUCUUGGAGAGGUCAUAGUUAUCAAUUAUCAGUUGUGCUUGGAUGAUUAAUAGAGUUCAGAGAAGAAAUUCAGAAAACAGAAUGAUUGCAUGCAGAGUCACUCUGUGCCUCAUGGGACACAGCCCCCAUUGGACAAUGUGAAAGAUGCCUUCGAGAGUUCAAGGAUACUUUUGAUGCUUCCCUUUGAGCUGAAACUGCCAACCAGACUAGGUUGUGAACAGAUGACCAUGCUAAAUGAGCAACAAAUCAUGCAGACCACAGAUGCAGUUUUCUCUGGUAUAUGAGAGCAGACUCCUCUUCAAAAUAGGUUCGGAGUUUUCUGUUAAUGUCUCUUUACACACACACACACCAUCCUCCAGGGGAGAUG
rnacentral:lncRNA from 1 species